rnacentral:rRNA from 1 species
UACGUAGGGGGCAAGCGUUGUCCGGAUUUAUUGGGCGUAAAGAGCGUGUAGGCGGCCAGGUAGGUCUGCUGUGAAAACUCGAGGCUCAACCUCGAGAUGUCGGCGGAAACCCUCCAGCUAGAGUCCGGAAGAGGAGAGUGGAAUUCCUGGUGUAGCGGUGAAAUGCGCAGAUAUCAGGAAGAACACCCGUGGCUAAGGCGGCUCUCUAGUACGGUACUGACGCUGAGACGCGAAAGCGUGGGGAGCGAACAGG